rnacentral:rRNA from 1 species
AUUGGGUGUCNAGUGGCGAACGGGUGAGUAAUAUAUAGUUAAUUUGCCUCUUGGAGAGGGAUAGCCAUUGGAAACGAUGAUUAAUACCUCAUAUACCUUUAGUUGUAAGAAUUAAAGGGAAAUGUUUUUUCGCCAAGAGAUAAGACUAUACGGUAUCAGGUAGUUGGUAGGGUAAGAGCCUACCAAGCCAAUGACGCCUAGCUGGUCUGAGAGGAUGAUCAGCCACACUGGAACUGAGACACGGUCCAGACUCCUACGGGAGGCAGCAGUGGGGAAUAUUGCACAAUGGAGGAAACUCUGAUGCAGCAACGCCGCGUGGAGGAUGACGCAUUUCGGUGUGUAAACUCCUUUUAUAUGGGAAGAUAAUGACGGUACCAUAUGAAUAAGCACCGGCUAACU